rnacentral:rRNA from 1 species
CGAACGCUGGCGGCGUGCUUAACACAUGCAAGUCGAACGAUGAAGCUCCUGCUUGCAGGAGUGGAUUAGUGGCGAACGGGUGAGUAACACGUGAGUAACCUGCCCCUGACUGUGGGAUAAGCCCGGGAAACUGGGUCUAAUACCGCAUAUGACACUUGGCCGCAUGGCUGGGUGUGGAAAGUUUUUCGGUUGGGGAUGGGCUCGCGGCCUAUCAGCUUGUUGGUGGGGUAAAGGCCUACCAAGGCGACGACGGGUAGCCGGCCUGAGAGGGCGACCGGCCACACUGGGACUGAGACACGGCCCAGACUCCUACGGGAGGCAGCAGUGGGGAAUAUUGCACAAUGGGGGAAACCCUGAUGCAGCGACGCCGCGUGAGGGAUGACGGCCUUCGGGUUGUAAACCUCUUUCAGUAGGGAAGAAGCCUUUCGGGGUGACGGUACCUGCAGAAGAAGUACCGGCAAUUAUU